rnacentral:lncRNA from 10 species
GGGGACAGGAGCUGGUGAGAGAUGGUUCAUUUGUGGACACUGCUGAAGGAAGAGGCAAAGCAAUGUGUCUGGAAAUGAGAUUUGGAGGAAAACAGAAUGAAUCCUACACAUGUGUACAAACCCGCAAAUGAGGGGAAAGCACAGGGAGCUUGUGUCAAAUUCUCCAGCAAAGAUGUGCACAGUUAGAAUUGAAAAGCAACGGGAUAAACAAGGAAAGUGCAAAGAGGAUCAUGUGUUGUUCUUGUGUAUAAAAGAUUCCUUGAAGCAUCUUGGAUUAAGUCGUGCGCAAGAUGGCUGAAUAGGAACAGCUCCGGUCUGCAGCUCCC